rnacentral:rRNA from 1 species
AUUGAACGCUGGCGGCAUGCCUUACACAUGCAAGUCGAACGGCAGCACGGGUGCUUGCACCUGGUGGCGAGUGGCGAACGGGUGAGUAAUACAUCGGAACAUGUCCUGUAGUGGGGGAUAGCCCGGCGAAAGCCGGAUUAAUACCGCAUACGAUCUACGGAUGAAAGCGGGGGACCUUCGGGCCUCGCGCUAUAGGGUUGGCCGAUGGCUGAUUAGCUAGAUGGUGGGGUAAAGGCCUACCAAGGCGACGAUCAGUAGCUGGUCUGAGAGGACGACCAGCCACACUGGGACUGAGACACGGCCCAGACUCCUACGGGAGGCAGCAGUGGGGAAUUUUGGACAAUGGGCGAAAGCCUGAUCCAGCAAUGCCGCGUGUGUGAAGAAGGCCUUCGGGUUGUAAAGCACUUUUGUCCGGAAAGAAAUCCUUGGCCCUAAUACGGUCGGGGGAUGACGGUACCGGAAGAAUAAGCACCGGCUAACUACGUG